GUUUAAAACUGCAUAUAAACCUUGGUGCUGGUGAAAGUGAGCUUUCCUCACCUAAAGGGAUACAUUUAAAUGAUACUCAGUGGCAUCAUGUCAGUAUUAUUAGAAGGGAAGCAAAUCUCACAAUGAAGAUUGAUGAAAGUACAGUGAAAAAGCGACUACCUGGAAGGUUUUUUGAACUGAACAUACACUUUGGUAUAUUCCUUGGUGGACAAGGUGACUUCUCUGAAUUGUUUCUUGGCCACAUGGAAAAUUUUCGUGGAUGUAUAGAAGAUGUAUACUACAACGGAGUUAAGAUUAUUGAGAAAGCACGAAGCCGCAGUGGUUCGGUGCAUGUAGAAGGCGUUACUUGGAA